rnacentral:rRNA from 1 species
UACGAAGGGGGCUAGCGUUGUUCGGAAUUACUGGGCGUAAAGCGCACGUAGGCGGAUAUUUAAGUCAGGCGUGAAAGCCCCGGGCUCAACCUGGGAACCGCGCUUGAGACUGGAGAACUAGAGUUCGGGAGAGGAUGGUGGAAUUCCCAGUGUAGAGGUGAAAUUCGUAGAUAUUGGGAAGAACACCGAUGGCGAAGGCAGCCAUCUGGACCGACACUGACGCUGAGGCGCGAAAGCGUGGGGAGCAAACAGG